rnacentral:rRNA from 1 species
AGUGAACGCUGGCGGUAGGCCUAACACAUGCCAGUCGAACGGCAGCACAGUAAGAGCUUGCUCUUACGGGUGGCGAGUGGCGGACGGGUGAGGAAUACAUCGGAAUCUACUUUUUCGUGGGGGAUAACGUAGGGAAACUUACGCUAAUACCGCAUACGACCUACGGGUGAAAGCAGGGGAUCUUCGGACCUUGCGCGAUUGAAUGAGCCGAUGUCGGAUUAGCUAGUUGGCGGGGUAAAGGCCCACCAAGGCGACGAUCCGUAGCUGGUCUGAGAGGAUGAUCAGCCACAGUGGAACUGAGACACGGUCCAGGCUCCUACGGGAGGCAGCAGAGGGGAAUAUUGGACAAUAGGCGCAAGCAUGAUCCAGCCAUACCGCGUGGGUGAAGAAGGCCUUCGGGUUGUAAAGCCCUUUUGUUGGGAAAGAAAAGCAGCAGGUUAAUACCCCGCUGUUCUGACGGUACCCAAAGAAUAAGCACCGGCUAACUUCGUG